AGAAGAGUGAAUUUUAAACAAAUAAUCUAAGUAACGUUGAGAGCUUUUACCCUCAUAAAAGAACACACUACUUUAAACCACUUCAGUUCAUUUCACUGUGAUCAGAUCCUGAGAGUGGCAGGAUAAUUCUUUGGGAAGGAUGACUGAGAUCAUGCUUACAUUUUGUCUUUUACGAUACCAGUUGCCUUAUGCUGCCCAGGACUUCCCAGAGACUCUAAACAAAGCUCCUCUGACAUUUGGUAAGAUUUCAUUUGGAUGCUUAAAACUGUCUUCAUUACUGUUUCCAGAACCAUGGUAUUCUUUC